GUAGUAUUCCCUCCGUCCCAAAAUUCUUGUCUUACAUUUGUUUAGAUAUAGAUGUAUCUAACACUAAAAUGUAACUAGAUACAUCCGUAUUUAGACAAAUUUAAGACAAGAAUUUUGGGAUGGAGGGAGUACAAA
rnacentral:pre_miRNA from 1 species